UGCAUGGAACUUUCGUUAUUUUCUUUUUCAAUUUUGGUAAUCCUAUUAUAAGUGCUGGUAGGAUUCUUCUCCCCUGGUUAAAUUGUGUUUUCUGAGAUAUUCUGUUGGUGGUUUCCUUAGUUUCGAUUGGAUGGAAUGGGCUAUGGACAUCUCGUUUUGGAGGAUCAUAAAUCCUUUGUUGAGGAUGCUUUUCUUCUUGGGAAGCUCUGUUUAUCAUUUGUUUCAUAAGCCUUGGUAUUUUAUCACUCUUUUGUUUCUGCCCCCCAUCUCUUCUUCAGACCAGGCCCUGCAAGACUAAAUAGGGUUUCACCACUGCUUAUCUCAAUCUCCCACUGAGGUAGCCUUUCUAGGCUCACAAACUGUUUCAGAGUUCCCAAAAAUUGGAAUUUGGUGCAACCAAUCUUCAAGUUGAACCAAAUGACAUUAUCUCUUUAUGAGUGUGGCAGAGUCAAAAUUUCGCGUUGAAGGGCCAACAGAAGAUCGGACGAUCGUGAAGUCUUGGAGAAAGGGGGCUUGUGGAAUAAUUUUAAUAAUGACACCAUAGUCCACGGAUACCUUGGCCCUUCACUUCAGGAAUGCUGUUAUUAGUUUUUUAAGUUAUGAGAUGAUGAACUCAAGUACUCUGUUGUUAUAUCUUACAGGUAAAAGUCAAGGAUAUGGCUGUAUUAUGGAUUACUUUCAAGAUCUUUUAUGAAUAGAAAUGGUGUUAGAUUUACUUUUGGAAGAAAGGUUCAAUGUAAGUUUUUACUUGGAAGGAAAACUAUUGAGCAAGCAGCUUGUAAUGCUUCACUUGCUUUCUUGAA